UGCGCUCGGAGCCGAACCCGCUCCCGGCGCUCGGACCUGCGGCGCCUGCGUCUUCCCCCUGGACCUUGGAGUCCUGACUCCGUGUACCCGCGAGCUCCCCUCGUUGGGAGCCGGGACGGGAGGGGACGGACCGGAGGGGCUGCUGAACCCUAGGGUCAAGGGUUGGCCUGGGGGCAAGGUCAGCGUUCAGAAAGCUGUCAUUCGCCUCCAUAAAAAUGAGUGUUCUGAGCGUUAAAAACGAAAUUCAUCUGAGAACAUUUGAAUAGGUAAUUGGUUUUAUUUAAUGAUUCACGAAUCAGGCGACCUCCCGUCUUAGCAGAUGGAAAGGAGCUCCAACGAGCUAUGUAACAGAAAGCUUUUAUAGGCAGAAGGGGGUGGGGAAAAAGAAGUUUCUAGCAACAGCUGGAUUGUUUCGGGCAAGGCCACCUUCCUUUGGGGGGAAAGCGGGUCUGUCCGGCGGAUUAUCUCACUGGUGCUGACCAGGCAAUCACGGUGACUGGAAGAAGCCAAAACUGCAGUCUGAUUGGGUGUUAAGUGCUGAGAGAGGACUCGGCACCAGUGACUCCAUUUGGGUCCUGUUGUUUCUUUUGUAAAAAGAGGAACAUAUUUGAGAAUGAUUUCCCAUAUAGAAAAGGGACUUCCAGUUAAAAAUAAAUCCCAUUUGAAUUAUAAACUAUUUAUAGUGUCACAUAGACAGAUUUAGAAACCUAAGACUUGCUGGGAGUAUCAGCAAUUGGGUUUCUUGUACAUCUGGUCAGUGUUUAUGUAAAAAGUAACGAGUUCACUUACCAGUUUUGUUUUCUUUGUUAUAAAAAAGUAACAGCGUAAACACAUUGCAGUAGGCUUUGCUUUUUUGAUUCCAUUAAAAGUAAAUCCUACAGCUUCUCAUCUUAGUGAUUUUUGUGAUCUUCCUAAAGGGGUGGAAAUGGAUAGAAAUUGUUCAACCAGUUCUCUCCAAAUAUAUGCUGGGCUUAUUUCCAAA